GCUUCUUGCGUUUCCUGGCUGAGAGUUCAUCCUGCUCACCGUGUUGAAGCGCAGCCCUUUUUUUCGUGCGUUGCACGGAGUCGCCGCGCUUGCAGCCCCGUUCGCGGCACCACGCUCAGCCCCAGCAGCUUCUCCCGUGCGCCGUCUUGUUUUGCUUCGCAUUGCCGGCUUUCUUGCCUCCAGCAGCGAACGCACUGCCAUCCUUGCUUGGCCUCACAUCCUCCGCAGCUGGGCGUCACCAGGACGCUAUGCACGCUGCUCCCGCAUCUGGAGCUCGCCCACCCUACUCGCUCAUCGUCUGACCAUGCGCACUCGCUGUCGGUCGCGCUCGGCUGCUCGUCGUUGUCCUGCCUCCUCGUCCACGCCGCAGUCGUCAUCGACCCUCUCCAACCUCGUCUGCGUUGCGACCUCCAUCCUGCCUGCUCGCGUUUUCCCCCUCUGCUCAAACGUCGGCGCCCGUGGUGAAGGUAGGCAGCCGCUCUAGCGUUUGGAUUUAUGGGUAGGUUUACUGUGUCUAAAACAGUGCUGAGUAAAAGUUUUAGUGUAUUUAGAGUUGGUUUGUCUAGAGAACAUUGAAAUAGCUAAAAGAGGAAAUAUAAAAGCCACACAAGUAGUGUUAAUAUAUGUUGUAGCGAAGUUAGACCCUAUAAAUUGUUGGGUAGCAAAUUUAAUGAACCUUAGUAUGUUUAGUACUCUAGUUUGUCUAACUAAAUUCAGUUUAGACCUUUAGAUAAAAUAUUAAGUUAAGUAUGGGUAAGCUUGUCAUGCGCUUAGUUAGAGGUGUUUAUGUUCCCCACCUCUCCUUUAUGAGAGUUUGCAUUUCAUAUCAUUACAUAAGCAUCCAUGUAUCUGUAAUUGACUUGUAGAACACCUAGAAGAAGUGAUGUUUGAACAAGAAGUCUACUCCAGUGCCUGUUCAUCAAGUGGAUGGAGCCAUCUAACUGAUCAUCGUGUUAGAAGUAUCUAGAACCUCUUCUCUGCAACAAAGGCAAGCCCCGGUGCAUUUGCCCCUUCCUUAUGUUUUAAAUGCUUUUUCACCUUAUCUGAUGCAUUAGGUGAUAGGAGUUGUGUGAUGAAAAAUUGAUGCAUUACCAUUCCUUGGAAACUCCUUAAUCCCUGUUUUAUAAAGAGAACUGAUAUUGCUUAGCCCUGCUUAAAAACUGAAAAAUCAUUUGUUUUCAAAAAGAAUGAUUGUGGAACAUUGGUUAUGGGCUUUUUAUUCAAAAAUCAAAGGAAACUAAGGUGAUGACUCCACUUCGGCCGGAGUGGGCUCAUCAUUGGAAAAGAGUACCCCUGCCGGGUACCAAAAAUGGGGAAAUGAUUAAUAAAUCUAGACCAGGCGCUGAGCAGACAGAGUCGCCCGUCUGUGUCGAUUAAGGACCGUACCGUUGACUGGCCUAUUGUGGUUGAGACUUUGCAACUAGCCACAUACCCUGGUAUGGGACAGGGUAAGCUUGAACCCGGCUAUUCCAUACGUGAAGAGACAAUCGCGCACUGGGAGUGGAGAGAUGGCGGGAGUAGCAUGUACCCUCCUGGCACAGCGCACGCCUGGUAGGUAAUGUGCUCUCGGGUGGCGCGGACCUAUUCAUGUAGUGGAGGACUCCAUGGGAACGGUUGACAUAUGCAAGGGUUAAGUGCUACAUAUGUCGUGUGGUUAGAGAUCCCCAGCUGGGUAUAAUCGGUUCGAAUCAUCGUUGCUCCUCGGUUAUGGAGACUCAUCCCGGUGACCAUCAUCGUAGUUAGCAAGUGAAAUAUGAGAAUGAAUAAAAUGCAGCUAGUAUAGGCCAAGUGCUUGAAAUAGACUAGGCAAAUAUAGAUGCAGGUAAUAACCUAACUAGUGAAAUAAAACUUGGUUUAAGGAUCAACUGGUAGCAAGCUUUUCUGCAAAAGGAGUCUUUGAUCAUUGAUAAACCUUACCUUGAUUCCCAAUCAACUAGCAUACCCUUGAGAGUCUUUUCUUUAGUCGGGUAAGUCUUGCUGAGUAAUUGCGUACUCAGGGUUUUAUCCCCUGUUGUUUUUGCAGGAGAAGUUUUAUUCCCUUAUCUUUUGGUUAGUUACUUCAUGUGGAGGCCUUGAAGCUUAGAAUGUUUAUGUGUAUCUCUUAUGGAAAGGCUUCACCGUUCCAAUUAUUGUAAUAAGUUAUGCACUUUGGGUACUAUCAGGACUUGUAAUAAAUACAUCUCUUUCUACCUUGUAAAACUUGAGUUCUGGAAUGUAAAGUGUACUUUGUAAAAGCCUUCCGCUCUAUCUCC
rnacentral:lncRNA from 1 species